GGUGUUAACCACCGUUGGCGACGUACGGUGCGAAAGAAGUUCAACAUACGUACAGUACAUGCGGUACCUAAUGGCCGGUCAACAACUUUUAUCCGCCGUUCGUCCUCUCUGGCCUGCGGCUUGCUGGCUAUGAAGAAGCUCAAUUGCCCGAAGCAACAACGACUAUAUCCUCUUUAUUCUCAUAACCACGCGGUCUUAUUGACGGGAAUUAUACAACACCGCACAAUUAAGUGUUUUGUGUGUGUGUGUUAGAUCGCCUAAAUAUAAAUGCGUCGUAAAAACCCACCACCGCACGAAACGGCCAAUUAGUAAUGCUUGUCACGUAAACAAAACGUGCCAAUUAGUUACUACAUCGGCACACUGGGUGUGUCGGAGAGUGAACCCACGACAAUGAAAACAUGUGGGGAGGACAGCAAGCGAUGCGAGACUACAGCUGCUCCGUCUGUGUGGCAUCGAGUGUUUCCCCCUCGCACUCUUGGGUUUUCCUGCGGCUGCUCGGCUUUCCUCCCGCAUGUAAACGCUCACCAAUUGGCCGGUGACACCCUAAAUAAAUAUAGAGGACAUGCAGAGCUUGGGCAAUUUGUUGGUAGCUCCGUGCUCCGCAACGCGUGGCUGCUUCCUUCCCGCUCCUCGUCAGUGGCUCCUCUUCAUCCUCCUCCUCCUCCUCGCGCCCCUGAAUCUCUCUGUUUUAAACCACUAUUGUUGUUGUUAUUCAGUAAAUCAGUUGUUGUGACGAUGACGCUAAUGCACAUGCCGAGCAGAGAAGAAAAGCAAAGACGAAAUGUGCAUCGGACAACCGCCGGGCUUGUCGCUUGCCCAUGGAUCGUGAUGAUGAUGACGACGACCCUGUCACUCGUUCUCCCCAAGACCGGCGAGCAGUCGAUAGGUGGCAGUGCAGGCCGCGACAAUGAAGCGCCACCUUAUCAGCCAUCAUCUCGUGAGUCUUUUCAUGUCUCUCGCACGGCUUUUGAUGUGGACGCGGAGCUUACACACAACAGCGAUUUCACGUUCAGGCGGGCAAGCCGCAGACAACCGCGUGAUGAGCAGUGGAGUGUGUCACCGUCGCUGCGAUGUCUCCCUCCUCGCGUUUGCGGCAGAUUGCGGAUAACUGAUGCACAAAUGGAAAUCAACAAGACAAAAAACAUAUCUCCAGCGUGCGACCGUGGGCAUCCAGAACAGGCCGUGCAACGGAGAACGACGCAAUUCCCCUAAAACAGCACAGGCGUGGCUCGUGGAGAUGUCCAGCAAGUUACAACGACAACAGCAACGACAAGAUAGGAGUGCCUAAAAGAGAACAGGUAAGCAAGUCAGGAAAAAAACAUUUAAUAAGGUAUAUAAGUACAAAUUGCAAACGUACAAACAUUCUUGCCGAAUGUUAGUCGGGACCAAGGGCCCUUCAAUAGGACCGAUUGCUAGAAUGCGUCAUGGUAAUGACGAGUGACAAUAAUUAGAUGUGUUCAUUCAUUCAUUAUUAUUAUUAUUUAUUGGGACGCUGCAGUGUUGUGAGAGAAGGGCGCGUCCACCGUGAGUCCAGGUCGCCCCUUUCGACUCGGGGCGCCGCGGUGGUGAGAUGUUAACCACCUCGCCUGGUAUACGGGAGGUUCGCGAGUUCGUGAGGUUCGUGAGCUCGUGAGUUCGAACCAGACCCUGACGCCUGCCGGGUCCCUCCGGGUUUUCCCUGCACAUUUAUAAUCAACACGCGUUCAGAGUUUUGGGCUGCGAUAUAAAUGUCUACUUGAUGAUACGCAACUUCGUCGAGUUAUCAUUUGUGAUAUCCAGAUGUUUAGUUUGUUUUUAAAUGCUCCUCCCCUACCUCUCCCCGAUCCCCUUCCUCGCCCAGCUCCCCUGUCAAUACGGCGGUCUAAAUGGCAACGCAAAGCGCAGUUCAAGUCCAUUGUCAAGUCGCGCGUGGUGGGGUAAAGUGUGAGCGCUGUUGUCUUCCUCUUACAAGAUAGCGUGGGAGAGGAGGCCGAACAUCACUCUCUGCAGGGCCUCUCCAGAGCUUCUUGUGGAGUGGAGGCCCUCCCGCCAGCAGUGGAGGGAGCAAGCAGCAGCAGGGCUGCGCCUCUAACUAAUACUUUCAUAGUACGUGGUAGGAUGGCGAUGACGCAUUAUCAACAAUACAUUAUUAACAAUGCAUUAUCAACAAUACAUCUAAACAAUACAUGUAAACGAUACAUAUCAACAAUGCAUUAUCAACAAUGCAUUACCAUCAAUGCAUUAUCAUCAAUGCAUUAUCAUCAAUGCUUUAUCAACAAUGCAUUAUCAUCAAUACAUUAUCAACAAUGCGUUAUCAUCAAUGCAUGAUCAACAAUGCAUGAUGAACAAUGCAUUAUCGACAAUGCAUGACCAACAAUUAAUGAUUAACAAUGCACGAUCAACAAUACAUUAUCAACAAUAUAUUAUCCAAGAAAGUGCUUUUGAAUAGUGUAGACAUAUUUUGCUAUUCUAGAAAACCUGCUUUAGCUCUUGGAUUCAUUGUGAUCGAAGAAUGAUAAUAAUACAACUUAAUCGUUCGUUUAGAAAAAGGCCUAGUUUGGAAUUGGUACCCUUGGCAAAACACGGGGGGUAUCUUGUUAUAAAAGAGACAUCUCGAAGGAUCUGGUAACAAAUUGAAAUAAAUCCGAAGGCAAUGCUGAAGGAA